rnacentral:misc_RNA from 1 species
CUUUCGCAAAGAAUUUUUAGCUUGCCUACCGUUGUAGUGGCUGGCAGUUUCUUUGUUAGUAACGGUUUCUCACAAAUGGAUGCACCCACACAUUUCAAAUUGACCGAUAGAAGUCCAGAAGCCAUUUUCUGAGGGCCUGAUGUUCCAACUGAUGGCCUUUCACCUUCAAUGCCAUGAAAAGCCUUAAGCUCAGCAAACCUGGGAUGCUCUUUGAUUUCAUCUGGAUUGUCAUGCAACUUCGACAUAACUAAGCGAACAUAUCGGAUUUCAGAGUCCUUCCUUUCACGAAGACUUACCUCACUUCCAUUCAGUAUUUAAACUUUUGAUAAUCGUGCAAUCAAAACAAACCUUGGGAUACCACUUCUUCCGGUAUCAGCUAUUGGAUUUUCAGAAAGCCUGAUAUCCACCAAUUUGGGGAAUG